rnacentral:rRNA from 1 species
GAUGAACGCUGGCGGCGUGCCUAAUACAUGCAAGUCGAGCGAACAGACGAGGAGCUUUAUCCUCUGACGUUAGCGGCGGACGGGUGAGUAACACGUGGAUAACCUACCUAUAAGACUGGGAUAACUUCGGGAAACCGGUGCUAAUACCGGAUAAUAUAUUGAACCGCAUGGUUCAAUAGUGAAAGACGGUUUUGCUGUCCCUUAUAGAUGGAUCCGCGCCGCAUUAGCUAGUUGGUAAGGUAACGGCUUACCAAGGCAACGAUGCGUAGCCGACCUGAGAGGGUGAUCGGCCACACUGGAACUGAGACACGGUCCAGACUCCUACGGGAGGCAGCAGUAGGGAAUCUUCCGCAAUGGGCGAAAGCCUGACGGAGCAACGCCGCGUGAGUGAUGAAGGUCUUCGGAUCGUAAAACUCUGUUAUUAGGGAAGAACAAAUGUGUAAGUAACUAUGCACGUCUUGACGGUACCUAAUCAGAAAGCCACGGCUAACUACGUG